CAUCUGUGUGAGUGAUGAUAAUGUACUAAAAUUGGAAUGAUACAGAGAAGAUCAGCAUGGCUCCCAUGCAAUGAUGGCACACAAAUUCACGGUGUUCCAUAUUUUA
ensembl:snRNA U6 U6 spliceosomal RNA